GUGGGGAAUAUUGGACAAUGGGCGAAAGCCUGAUCCAGCCAUGCCGCGUGUGUGAAGAAGGUCUUCGGAUUGUAAAGCACUUUAAGUUGGGAGGAAGGGCAGUAAGUUAAUACCUUGCUGUUUUGACGUUACCGACAGAAUAAGCACCGGCUAACUUCGUGCCAGCAGCCGCGGUAAUACGAAGGGUGCAAGCGUUAAUCGGAAUUACUGGGCGUAAAGCGCGCGUAGGUGGUUUUGUAAGUUGGGGGUGAAAUCCCCGGGCUCAACCUGGGAACUGCCUCCAAAACUGCAUGACUAGAGUACGGUAGAGGGUAGUGGAAUUUCCUGUGUAGCGGUGAAAUGCGUAGAUAUAGGAAGGAACACCAGUGGCGAAGGCGACUACCUGGACUGAUACUGACACUGAGGUGCGAAAGCGUGGGGAGCAAACAGGAUUAGAUACCCGAGUAGUCC
rnacentral:rRNA from 1 species